UAUAUAAUAGGCUAAUUUAAGCUUAUAGGUUCAUACCCUAUUGAUAAAUUUUAAAAAUUUUUAUAUAA
rnacentral:tRNA from 2 species